rnacentral:rRNA from 1 species
GAUAAACGCUGGCGGCGUGCCUAAUACAUGCAAGUCGAGCGAACGGACGAGAAGCUUGCUUCUCUGAUGUUAGCGGCGGACGGGUGAGUAACACGUGGAUAACCUACCUAUAAGACUGGGAUAACUUCGGGAAACCGGAGCUAAUACCGGAUAAUAUUUUGAACCGCAUGGUUCAAAAGUGAAAGACGGUCUUGCUGUCACUUAUAGAUGGAUCCGCGCUGCAUUAGCUAGUUGGUAAGGUAACGGCUUACCAAGGCAACGAUGCAUAGCCGACCUGAGAGGGUGAUCGGCCACACUGGAACUGAGACACGGUCCAGACUCCUACGGGAGGCAGCAGUAGGGAAUCUUCCGCAAUGGGCGAAAGCCUGACGGAGCAACGCCGCGUGAGUGAUGAAGGUCUUCGGAUCGUAAAACUCUGUUAUUAGGGAAGAACAUAUGUGUAAGUAACUGUGCACAUCUUGACGGUACCUAAUCAGAAAGCCACGGCUAACUACGUGCCAGCAGCCGCGGUAAUACGUAGGUGGCAAGCGUUAUCCGGGAAUAUUGGGCGUAAAGCGCGCGUAGCGGUUUUUUAGUCUGAUGUGAAAGCCCACGGCUCAACCGUGGAGGGUCAUUGGAAACUGGAAAACUUGAGUGCAGAAGAGGAAAGUGGAAUUCCAUGUGUAGCGGUGAAAUGCGCAGAGAUAUGGAGGAACACCAGUGGCGAAGGCGACUUUCUGGUCUGUAACUGACGCUGAUGUGCGAAAGCGUGGGGAUCAAACAGGAUUAGAUACCCUGGUAGUCCACGCCGUAAACGAUGAGUGCUAAGUGUUAGGGGGUUUCCGCCCCUUAGUGCUGCAGCUAACGCAUUAAGCACUCCGCCUGGGGAGUACGACCGCAAGGUUGAAACUCAAAGGAAUUGACGGGGACCCGCACAAGCGGUGGAGCAUGUGGUUUAAUUCGAAGCAACGCGAAGAACCUUACCAAAUCUUGACAUCCUUUGACAACUCUAGAGAUAGAGCCUUCCCCUUCGGGGGACAAAGUGACAGGUGGUGCGUGGUUGUCGUCAGCUCGUGUCGUGAGAUGUUGGGUUAAGUCCCGCAACGAGCGCAACCCUUAAGCUUAGUUGCCAUCAUUAAGUUGGGCACUCUAAGUUGACUGCCGGUGACAAACCGGAGGAAGGUGGGGAUGACGUCAAAUCAUCAUGCCCCUUAUGAUUUGGGCUACACACGUGCUACAAUGGACAAUACAAAGGGCAGCGAAACCGCGAGGUCAAGCAAAUCCCAUAAAGUUGUUCUCAGUUCGGAUUGUAGUCUGCAACUCGACUACAUGAAGCUGGAAUCGCUAGUAAUCGUAGAUCAGCAUGCUACGGUGAAUACGUUCCCGGGUCU